UCGGCCGCAAUGGCGAGCUUCCAGCGAAGGCCGUGGGGCAGAUGAGUUCCUGAUGAUGAGGUGUGGAGACUGAUUUCGAGAUGCGGCGGCCAGAUACGGCCAUGAGGAGCCCUUUCCUGAACGCGUGGAGCGGCCGCUUCCGAGUUCGUCGGUCGGCAGUGGCUGAACAACCGCCCUACACCCUCUACUUCCAUAUGCUCUCUGCUCUCCUGUACGCAUCUAUCUGAUUGUAUGCAGUGUUUGAGGAACAGGAACGGCAGCCUGAUCAUGAGCAGAAUAACAAGGUGGUUGCUUCAUGCCCGUGGAUGAUAGCUUGCACCUUUUUUGUGACAGUGUUGUCAGGACACUGAAUUUUGCAAAUAAGGAUGGGAUUUAUCGUAGAUAUUGUACAGAUAGGAUAUGAGAGGUUUCUUCUGAAAUGCAGAUUGAAAGCGGUACCAUGUUGCAAGGAAAGGAUAUGCUGAUGUGACAAUGCAUCAGUUCGACAGACAGGAGAGGUUCUCUUGGAAGCUCCAAAUUGCUAUCAACCUCAACAUCUCUAAACAAUUUCUCCGAGCCUUCAAUCCAACAAUCAAAAAGCCUGUGGGGCUAGCGAAUGAAGUAGAUACAAGUAUACAACACUUCUGAUCACUAUUUCUUCUGGAUCCACAACUCGCUCCAAUAGUGUAAUCAGUUACAUCGCAAGCCCAAUAUCGAGCAAUUUUAGUCAUUUGCCACCGCAUGAUUUCUCUGAUAGAUAUUUAUUUUUCAUAGUUCAUUUUUAUGUGUAA